ensembl:lncRNA
UGGGUACCUGGCGCUGGCCCUUGGAGUCUUGGCUCUGGGCAGCUGGACCUGGACAGGACUGGCUCGCCAGGUCCCGGGGUGGCCCCUUCCUCAUCAGCAGGGCACAGACAAGGGAACAGACAAGAUGCUGAGAUGCGAACAGGGUACCCUGCCCCCUUAAGUGCUGUUCGACAAGUGACAGCGGGCUCCGUCACCAGGGAAAGCUUUGUGACAGUGGAUUUGGCCUUGAUUUCUUAACUACGAACUCAAAAGUACAGACCAUGAAAGCAAAAAUAAAUCGAACUUUAUUAAAAUUUAGCACAUCAAAGGUCAGUAUUAAAGAAAGUAGAAAGACAGAAUAUUCCAUAGAGAAAUACUUGCAAAUUGUCUUCUGACAUAGGGUUAAGAUCCAGAAUAUAUAAAGAACAUUACAACUUCACAAUCACAAGAUAACCUGAUUAAAAAACAAGCAAAGAAGGUCAACAGACAUUUUUCCAAAGAAGAUAUACAAAUAGCAAGUAAGCCCAUGAAAGUAUGCUUGACAUCAGUGAUUGUUAGGGAAAUAAAACUCAAAAACUGUAAUGAAAUAGCACCCCACACCCACUAGGACACUAUGAGCAAGAAGACAGAGAAGCGUGCUGCUGAGCGUGUGGGGCGACCGAGCCUGGGCCCUGCCCUGGGACGCCACAUGGUCAGGUGUUGGAAAGCAGAGAGCAAUUCCUCAAAAACCAAACGCCGAGCGCCAGCACGCCGGCAAAUCCUGCUGGGUGUGUGCCCCAAAGAAGUGAAAGCAGAGACUGGGAGAGACGCGUACUCACCCUCACAGCAGCCUCCUUCACGGUAGCCAGCAGGGAGAAGCAACCUUGCUCCUGGGUGGAUGAAGAGAGGAGCAGUAUACGGCCCACCCCUGUGCUAAACUAUUAUCCAGUGCUUAUAAAAAGGAGAGAACUGUGGCUACGCUACAGCACAGGACAACCUUGAGGACGUCCUGCUCAGGGAGAUAAACCGGAUACAAAAGACACCGUGAUUCCAUUCGUCUGGGGUCCCUGCAGCUGUCAGCUCCCUAGGGACAGGAGGGGCGGAGUCCGUGUUUGAGGGCACAGAGGUUCAUUUUGGGGAGACACACGAGAUCUGGAGAUGUGUGAUGGUCCUAUGGGUGACCUCUCUGCAGGGGGCCGUGGAAUCCCACCCUUAAAAUGGCUGAAAUGGUAAAUUUCAUGUUUUAUUGAUUUACCACAAUAAAAACCUUAACCACUGC